GAUGAACGCUGGCGGCGUGCCUAAUACAUGCAAGUCGAGCGAACGGACGAGAAGCUUGCUUCUCUGAUGUUAGCGGCGGACGGGUGAGUAACACGUGGAUAACCUACCUAUAAGACUGGGAUAACUUCGGGAAACCGGAGCUAAUACCGGAUAAUAUUUUGAACCGCAUGGUUCAAAAGUGAAAGACGGUCUUGCUGUCACUUAUAGAUGGAUCCGCGCUGCAUUAGCUAGUUGGUAAGGUAACGGCUUACCAAGGCAACGAUGCAUAGCCGACCUGAGAGGGUGAUCGGCCACACUGGAACUGAGACACGGUCCAGACUCCUACGGGAGGCAGCAGUAGGGAAUCUUCGGCAAUGGGCGAAAGCCUGACGGAGCAACGCCGCGUGAGUGAUGAAGGUCUUCGGGUCGUAAAACUCUGUUAUUAGGGAAGAACAUAUGUGUAAGUAACUGUGCACAUCUUGACGGUACCUAAUCAGAAAGCCACGGCUAACUACGUG
rnacentral:rRNA from 1 species